rnacentral:rRNA from 1 species
UACGGAGGGGGCUAGCGUUGUUCGGAAUUACCGGGCGUAAAGCGCGCGUAGGCGGACCUGCAAGUCGGGGGUGAAAGCCCGAGGCUCAACCUCGGAACUGCCUUCGAUACUGCGGGUCUCGAGUCCGGGAGAGGUGAGUGGAAUUCCUAGUGUAGAGGUGAAAUUCGUAGAUAUUCGGAAGAACACCAGUGGCGAAGGCGGCUCACUGGCCCGGUACUGACGCUGAUGUGCGAAAGCGUGGGGAGCAAACAGG